rnacentral:rRNA from 1 species
CCUACGGGCGGCAGCAGUGGGGAAUAUUGCACAAUGGGCGCAAGCCUGAUGCAGCCAUGCCGCGUGUGUGAAGAAGGCCUUCGGGUUGUAAAGCACUUUCAGCGAGGAGGAAGGGCGAUGUCUUAAUACGGCAUCGCAUUGACGUUACUCGCAGAAGAAGCACCGGCUAACUCCGUGCCAGCAGCCGCGGUAAUACAGAGGGUGCAAGCGUUAAUCGGAUUUACUGGGCGUAAAGCGCACGCAGGCGGUUUGUUAAGUCAGAUGUGAAAUCCCCGAGCUUAACUUGGGAACUGCAUUUGAAACUGGCAAGCUAGAGUCUUGUAGAGGGGGGUAGAAUUCCAGGUGUAGCGGUGAAAUGCGUAGAGAUCUGGAGGAAUACCGGUGGCGAAGGCGGCCCCCUGGACAAAGACUGACGCUCAGGUGCGAAAGCGUGGGGAGCAAACAGGAUUAGAUACCCGUGUAGUC